rnacentral:rRNA from 1 species
UACAGAGGGUGCGAGCGUUGUCCGGAAUCACUGGGCGUAAAGGGCGCGUAGGUGGCGACCCAAGUCGAUGGUGAAAGCUCGCCGCUCAACGGCGAGUCGGCCACCGAUACUGGGUUGCUCGAGCACUGUAGAGGCUCAUGGAAUUCCGGGUGUAGCGGUGGAAUGCGUAGAGAUCCGGAAGAACACCGGUGGCGAAGGCGGUGAGCUGGGCAGUUGCU